UUAAGCGACUAAGCGUACACGGUGGAUGCCCUGGCAGUCAGAGGCGAUGAAGGACGUGCUAAUCUGCGAAAAGCGUCGGUAAGGUGAUAUGAACCGUUAUAACCGGCGAUGUCCGAAUGGGGAAACCCAGUGCAAUUCGUUGCACUAUCGUUAACUGAAUACAUAGGUUAACGAGGCGAACCGGGGGAACUGAAACAUCUAAGUACCCCGAGGAAAAGAAAUCAACCGAGAUUCCCCCAGUAGCGGCGAGCGAACGGGGAGCAGCCCAGAGUCUGAAUCAGCUUGUGUGUUAGUGGAACGGUCUGGAAAGUCCGACGGUACAGGGUGAUAGUCCCGUACACCAAAAUGCACAGGCUGUGAACUCGAAGAGUAGGGCGGGACACGUGGUAUCCUGUCUGAAUAUGGGGGGACCAUCCUCCAAGGCUAAAUACUCCUGACUGACCGAUAGUGAACCAGUACCGUGAGGGAAAGGCGAAAAGAACCCCGGCGAGGGGAGUGAAAAAGAACCUGAAACCGUGUACGUACAAGCAGUGGGAGCACCUUCGGGUGUGACUGCGUACCUUUUGUAUAAUGGGUCAGCGACUUAUAUUCUGUAGCAAGGUUAACCGUAUAGGGGAGCCGCAGGGAAACCGAGUCUUAACUGGGCGUUAAGUUGCAGGGUAUAGACCCGAAACCCGGUGAUCUAGCCAUGGGCAGGUUGAAGGUUGGGUAACACUAACUGGAGGACCGAACCGACUAAUGUUGAAAAAUUAGCGGAUGACUUGUGGCUGGGGGUGAAAGGCCAAUCAAACCGGGAGAUAGCUGGUUCUCCCCGAAAGCUAUUUAGGUAGCGCCUCGUGAACUCAUCUUCGGGGGUAGAGCACUGUUUCGGCUAGGGGGUCAUCCCGACUUACCAACCCGAUGCAAACUACGAAUACCGAAGAAUGUUAUCACGGGAGACACACGGCGGGUGCUAACGUCCGUCGUGAAGAGGGAAACAACCCAGACCGCCAGCUAAGGUCCCAAAGUCAUGGUUAAGUGGGAAACGAUGUGGGAAGGCACAGACAGCCAGGAUGUUGGCUUAGAAGCAGCCAUCAUUUAAAGAAAGCGUAAUAGCUCACUGGUCGAGUCGGCCUGCGCGGAAGAUGUAACGGGGCUAAACCAUGCACCGAAGCUGCGGCAGCGACACUAUGUGUUGUUGGGUAGGGGAGCGUUCUGUAAGCCUGCGAAGGUGUGCUGUGAGGCAUGCUGGAGGUAUCAGAAGUGCGAAUGCUGACAUAAGUAACGAUAAAGCGGGUGAAAAGCCCGCUCGCCGGAAGACCAAGGGUUCCUGUCCAACGUUAAUCGGGGCAGGGUGAGUCGACCCCUAAGGCGAGGCCGAAAGGCGUAGUCGAUGGGAAACAGGUUAAUAUUCCUGUACUUGGUGUUACUGCGAAGGGGGGACGGAGAAGGCUAUGUUAGCCGGGCGACGGUUGUCCCGGUUUAAGCAUGUAGGCUGAUUGUCCAGGCAAAUCCGGAUAAUCAAGGCUGAGGUGUGAUGACGAGGCACUACGGUGCUGAAGUAACAAAUGCCCUGCUUCCAGGAAAAGCCUCUAAGCAUCAGGUAACAUCAAAUCGUACCCCAAACCGACACAGGUGGUCAGGUAGAGAAUACCAAGGCGCUUGAGAGAACUCGGGUGAAGGAACUAGGCAAAAUGGUGCCGUAACUUCGGGAGAAGGCACGCUGGUGUGUAGGUGAAGUCCCUGCGGAUGGAGCUGAGACCAGUCGAAGAUACCAGCUGGCUGCAACUGUUUAUUAAAAACACAGCACUGUGCAAACACGAAAGUGGACGUAUACGGUGUGACGCCUGCCCGGUGCCGGAAGGUUAAUUGAUGGGGUUAUCCGUAAGGAGAAGCUCUUGAUCGAAGCCCCGGUAAACGGCGGCCGUAACUAUAACGGUCCUAAGGUAGCGAAAUUCCUUGUCGGGUAAGUUCCGACCUGCACGAAUGGCGUAAUGAUGGCCAGGCUGUCUCCACCCGAGACUCAGUGAAAUUGAACUCGCUGUGAAGAUGCAGUGUACCCGCGGCAAGACGGAAAGACCCCGUGAACCUUUACUAUAGCUUGACACUGAACAUUGAGCCUUGAUGUGUAGGAUAGGUGGGAGGCUUUGAAGCGUGGACGCCAGUCUGCGUGGAGCCAACCUUGAAAUACCACCCUUUAAUGUUUGAUGUUCUAACGUUGGCCCCUGACCGGGGUUGCGGACAGUGUCUGGUGGGUAGUUUGACUGGGGCGGUCUCCUCCCAAAGCGUAACGGAGGAGCACGAAGGUUAGCUAAUCCUGGUC
rnacentral:rRNA from 9 species